ACCUUUUAUCGAAUCGAUCAGGAACAGCAGAUACGAUUUCAUUUGUUCUUCGUACUGCUGUUAUAUUGAAGUGCAUAUUAACUUUGUUAUUUUUUAUCGACUUAUUUAUGAACAUGAAAAUAAAAUCGUUAAAGGAUCAUGUUCGAUAAUAACGAUGAAUUACGAGGAUAUGAUAAUCGAUUUUCUCUCUCUCUCUCUCUCUCUCUCUUCCUCUCUUCCUUUCUCUCUUUUUGUUGUUGUAUAAAACUAGACGCGCGCGCGCGCGCGAAUACGCUCUUACUUAAACGCGUUUAUCGCUCAUAAAAAUGCAAAUUAUUAUGUCGCACCGAAAAUUAUAGACGCGUACUCAUAAGUCCUGGCACAAUUUGUCUCCGGAUCGUGAAUCACUUAAUUUUAGAGUACAAAGGAUACUGUGUUUAAGCUCUCUCUCUCUCUCUCUUUCCUCUCUCUUCCUCUGUCUCAUUCUCUCUGAUACUCACCACCCGCUCUCGGCAGACCACUUAUGUGUGUUCCGCGUUCACAUGCUAGCUGCUUCUACCGGAACUAAUUGAACCGUUGCUCUUAAACGCCUGUAAACGUUGGUCGGAGUAGUUUCCUUGCGCAUUGUCGCGCGUGUCCCAACUUACCUUCUACAGGAAUACUAAAAUUGAUAUUCACCAUUCGAUAUAGUUUACAAGGAUAUUUUCAAGGAUAUUCGCCAUUGGAUAAAGGUGUGAGAAGGCAGGCCGACAAUUCGCGAGGUUUAACAAGAUCCUUGGAUUAGAAUGAACCCUUUUCGUCGUUCCACGAAUGGUCCAUUUAAUGCUCUCGCCUGGCGCCUUAGCAAAUUUUUAAAUGCGACAGGAGGAGGACUAUACAAGAAAAGGAGUCGAGUCGAUGGGAGAAAAAAGAGGACCUAGAGGGCCCAAAAUCUCGAUCUGUUCGGCACCCGUUACGAGGACCGACGAAGGUGGAAAUAUAUAUUUCAUAGGAAAUAGAAUGUGUGUGUGUGUGYAUGAGUUAGAGAGAGAGAGAGAGGAAUAGGAGGAGUGAGAUAGAGAGAGAAAGAGAGAAGAGAAAUGGUCGGACGGAGCCACAAAAGAGCGAAAUGCAUGUCUGGGCCUUAACGCGGCGUAGCCUCCCGGCUUUUGGGUCAGUUCUCGGCCCUCUCUAGUAACCACAUCAGUCUCUGCAUUCUAUACCACCUCGAGUCGAGUUUCAGGGGCGUACUUUAUUUCUUGGUCCAUAUAUUAUGAUUAGUUUAAUGAAGAACUUAUAUUUUUCAACGAAUUUUUCUAUUUAAAAAUAAAAAAUCUUCUUUUAUUAUUAACCAAAUAUUAGAUGUAGCAAUUACUUUGGUGUUUUUUAAACAAAUAAUAAUCUCACAUCUGUUAUUCUUCAAAAUAAUCUCCAUUAUUUUCGAUGACUUUGGGCUAUCUUUCAGAUAAUUGUCGAAUUUCUUUAAUGAAAAAAACAUGGUAAUUUUAAUACCAUUAAUUUAAUAUCAUAGUAUCGAAUAUAUUUUUAUUUUUGUUACAAUUAAUAGAAUAUUAUAUACCUACUGUUUUUCGUGUAGAUGAGUCAAAUAAAUUUGAAGAGUAUAUUAACUUCAUUUAAAAUGUUAUUAAUAAAGAAGAGAUGAUGUUCGUCGUCAAGAGAACAAUAGAGAUAUGUACAUCGUAUCGAAGUAAAGUGGCACGUAGCUCUUAACAAGAAACAUUCUCGACCGAGAUUAAAUGAUAGGAAGAUAUUGGAUAAUCGAUCGUAAUUGUGUCUAUUUAGUAUAGGGAAGCUGGGGUUGGCGUCUUACAACUCUUCUUGGAGACUCUACCAAAGUGGCAUCUUCUAUAUUAACGGCAGGAAGCGGUUAACCGCUCGACUGAAUAAUCGUUCAUAGGGAAAGAAAGAAAGAAAGACAAAGAGGGAGAGAGAGAGAGAGAGAGAGAGAGAGAGAGAGAAGCAAGAGAAAUAAAUCUAACGAGGACCAUCGAAAAUGUCUAACUAAGCGUUCUUCAACUUUAUGUUCUUGAAUACAAAGCUUUUUGGCGCCACGUUAAUUGAUCGAACGACUUGGUCCUGUUCCACGCAAGGAUACAGGUCGACUUCUUUCUAAUUAUCAUUUUUUUCUUUCUCUUAUGAUGCUGUUAUCGCAAUAAAAAAAAAAAAGAGAAAAAAAGAACCAGAAAAAUAAACGAAGACGGCAAAUGAAUUCGCUCGAUUAAGUUGGAGUUAAAAAGAGGGUUGACUACCUGGUCACGAUACAAGUUUCUUCCUUUUUGGUUGCGUAUGCGAGUGGUUCUGCGUACAACCAGCUGUGUAUAAGGAUAUCUUUAGAGGUGGCUUUUAUCGCUAAAAGCCAAGUGUGAAUCGGGGCCACCGGUGCUCGAUCAAAGGCGACCGUGCCGACAUGAUACAACUAAUGUAAGAGGAAAAGAGAGAGGAAGAGUGAAAGACUAAAAAAAAAGAAAAGGAUAGUUAGAGUUAGAAAACAGAGUCAAUAAAUAAAAAGGUAAAGAAAGGGAAGUAGGAAGAAGAAUUUAAAAGAGGAAAACGUUUGAUUCAGUUUAGCCAAUCUCCUCUUUUUGUUUUAUUUUUUCUUCUACUUCGAUUAAAACGGACGACGAUUAAAAACAAGUGUUGGGUGUAAACGAUUGAUAGAUAACGCUUAUAAAGAUAUAUAAAAAGAUCUUCGCGUAAACGAUUCGUCGAAAUUCUUAUUGAGAGUUCUCGACUGGAAAAUUAUUAACCGACGAGAUGCAAGAUAGGUCGAUGCAUCGAGAAUAUCGUCUUUGCUUGUAUAUAUGUUCGUGUAUACACGUGUGCAUAUUGUUCGCUCGAAUGAAUUCAAUGAGAAAGAAAGAGAAAGAGAGAGAGAGAGAGAGAGAGAGAGAGAGAGAGAGAUGGAGAAACUACGAAGAGAGACGGGAGUCACCUAAUCGUGACCGCCUACCGACAAAUUAGAAUAUAUCGAAGUUUAACUCGACGACCACAAGAUAUCUCUUUCCCUUCACGAAAAUCAUACUAUCGCAUACAUUUACAGCGAUUAAAUUUAACUCAUGUAUUUAUGUUCGUCAUUUAUUCGUUCUUUUGCAUGAGGUAACUGCAAAGAAAAAAAAGAGAUAAUAAACGUUACAAGCAAAUAUA